rnacentral:misc_RNA from 1 species
CUGAGUGUAUGCUCUGUAUUACCCUUUGUGAACCGUUAUAAAACUGUUGCUUCGGCGGCGCGCCCCAGGCGUGCCCGCCGGUGUUCAGAAUCUCUUGUUUCCAUCAGUAACCUCUGAGUGUUCCAUAGCGAACUGUUA